UAAAAAAUAAAUCAAUUUGAAGAAAAAAAAAAUAAUCCACAGCUAAAUCUAUACUAUAUUAAAAAGAUUAUAUAAUCAACAGGGAGAGUGUCCACGUCGACAUAUAAAUUCAACCAAUGUGGUGUGUUUGUUUGUCCACCUCAGUUACGUUUUGGGCUUUUGAGUUCUGAGAUUAGCUGGGCCUUAAGCGUCGUUUUGAUACUAGGUUUGAACUUGCUUUCAUCUCCGACGGAACCUGAGUUCUGAGAACGUGUUUCAUCUUCUUCCUUAGAAUUCGAAAAGCUACCAGUAAGUCCUUAUUAAAUCCAUCACCGACGAUCUACGAUCUUCCCUCAUGCAAGGAGGUGGAACUGCGACUAUAAAAAUUGAUUGGAGAGCAGUUUCAUUUAACUUCGAUAUAUGACAGUGACAAUGAUUGCGGCUGUAUCAACAUCGAUGAAGGAGUUCCCGUGAUCGGAAUGGAGUACAAACUGUCUCAGGUGUUGCAGUUCUCUUGGUCAUCAUUGAAAAAGUCAAGUAUAAAUAAACAUUGAUAAAGAAAUAAGCUUUCCAUCGACUAUCAAAUUAUUUUUUUCAGGAAUACUUUACUGACCUGAAGGCGUUGAAGCCAAACUAUGGCAGGUACCAGAGACGCUUCCAGAAUAAGCACUCUCUAAGAUGAGCACACCACCAAAGAGUGAAUCACCAAUCAUCACACCUGACGAACUAACUGAAGCUGAUGGGUUCGUCUUUGGAUUCCCAACAAGGUACGGCAUGAUGGCUGCUCAGUUCAAAGUCUUCUUGGACACUACCGGUGGACUCCGGAGAACUCAGUCACUUGCUGGUAAACCAGCUGGAUCUUCUACAGCACUGGCUCUCAAGGUGGUAGCCAAGAAACCACUGCGUAAGUUCCCAUGAAACCAUGAGAGUCGUGAGCCGUAGUUUGUCAAUAAUAAAGUAGAUGUUUUUUUCUCAAGUCAUGUUCACGCAUACGUGAGGUCAGUAAGUACACAAAACUUUAGCUCAUUAUGUCUCCGUUUAAACUAUAGAUUAUGACAAUUUUUUGAGCUUCUGUGAAA